rnacentral:rRNA from 1 species
AUGAACGCUAGCUACAGGCUUAACACAUGCAAGUCGAGGGGCAGCAUGGUCUUAGCUUGCUAAGGCCGAUGGCGACCGGCGCACGGGUGAGUAACACGUAUCCAACCUGCCGUCUACUCUUGGACAGCCUUCUGAAAGGAAGAUUAAUACAAGAUGGCAUCAUGAGUCCGCAUGUUCACAUGAUUAAAGGUAUUCCGGUAGACGAUGGGGAUGCGUUCCAUUAGAUAGUAGGCGGGGUAACGGCCCACCUAGUCUUCGAUGGAUAGGGGUUCUGAGAGGAAGGUCCCCCACAUUGGAACUGAGACACGGUCCAAACUCCUACGGGAGGCAGCAGUGAGGAAUAUUGGUCAAUGGGCGAGAGCCUGAACCAGCCAAGUAGCGUGAAGGAUGACUGCCCUAUGGGUUGUAAACUUCUUUUAUAAAGGAAUAAAGUCGGGUAUGGAUACCCGUUUGCAUGUACUUUAUGAAUAAGGAUCGGCUAACUCCGUGCCAGCAGCCGCGGUAAUACGGAGGAUCCGAGCGUUAUCCGGAUUUAUUGGGUUUAAAGGGAGCGUAGAUGGAUGUUUAAGUCAGUUGUGAAAGUUUGCGGCUCAACCGUAAAAUUGCAGUUGAUACUGGAUAUCUUGAGUGCAGUUGAGGCAGGCGGAAUUCGUGGUGUAGCGGUGAAAUGCUUAGAUAUCACGAAGAACUCCGAUUGCGAAGGCAGCCUGCUAAGCUGCAACUGACAUUGAGGCUCGAAAGUGUGGGUAUCAAACAGGAUUAGAUACCCUGGUAGUCCACACGGUAAACGAUGAAUACUCGCUGUUUGCGAUAUACUGCAAGCGGCCAAGCGAAAGCGUUAAGUAUUCCACCUGGGGAGUACGCCGGCAACGGUGAAACUCAAAGGAAUUGACGGGGGCCCGCACAAGCGGAGGAACAUGUGGUUUAAUUCGAUGAUACGCGAGGAACCUUACCCGGGCUUAAAUUGCAGAUGAAUUACGGUGAAAGCCGUAAUCCGCAAGGCAUCUGUGAAGGUGCUGCAUGGUUGUCGUCAGCUCGUGCCGUGAGGUGUCGGCUUAAGUGCCAUAACGAGCGCAACCCUUGUUGUCAGUUACUAACAGGUUCCGCUGAGGACUCUGACAAGACUGCCAUCGUAAGAUGUGAGGAAGGUGGGGAUGACGUCAAAUCAGCACGGCCCUUACGUCCGGGGCUACACACGUGUUACAAUGGGGGGUACAGAGGGCCGCUACCACGCGAGUGGAUGCCAAUCCCCAAAACCUCUCUCAGUUCGGACUGGAGUCUGCAACCCGACUCCACGAAGCUGGAUUCGCUAGUAAUCGCGCAUCAGCCACGGCGCGGUGAAUACGUUCCCGGGCCUUGUACACACCGCCCGUCAAGCCAUGGGAGCCGGGGGUACCUGAAGUGCGUAACCGCGAGGAGCGCCCUAGGGUAAAACUGGUGACUGGGGCU